CCCAUGAACUGUAAACUCUUUGAAACCGAAUGUAUCUUUCAUCUCUAUUAUCUGACAAAAUGAUUAGCAUGAAAUUUUGCAUUGUAGGCAUCAAUAAAUACUUCAGGUAUAUUUAUUAGAUGUAUGUUUAUUUUGUUUGAUCUAAUUGAGAGUACGUUUGUCCAAUUAUGAUUUUAAAACAUAUACUCAUUAAGCAGUACAUAUUACAAAGAUCCACUCUUUCUGCUACAGCAUAGAAUGAACAGCGAAAAGGAAGCCUUAAACUAUCCUGAUGGUGAAUGCAGUAUUCAAUUCUUCAGACUGUAAAUUAAAAUCGGAACAUUACUAGAACUGUCAAAUUCUUCCCAAAGCAAUCUUCAAGGCUAAUCAACAUAGACAAUCACUCUUUUCACUUGUCUAGCAAUAAGAAAAUUUUAAGCAAUAUCUUUUGAUUGGAGUUGCCUUGAAAAUUGCCUAGUUGGAGGCCUUAUUUUAAAAUGCAACAAGCCUGAAAUAUUAAAUGUAAUUUGCUAUGUAGCCUAGAGAAAGAAAGAGGCAUUUGGCACAUUUUUCCUAAUUGUUUCUGAUUGCUGCCUGGGCCGCCCCAGCACCUCUCUGUCUUCAAAAUCACCUUUGAAGGCGUCAACACCUUUGGCCACGACUUUUAAUCAGAAGGAGGCUCAACCCAAAAUAAUUUGACUGUUUGUGGCAGAAAUCUUCACAAUGAUGACUUUAAUAUUUUUAAUCCGUUGACCUUAAAGAAAGAGCCUUCAGAAGCGAAAGCCCUGUUUUUUCAAAUUUCCACCAUUUUAAUUUGGAGCGAAGUUCUCACGCGCAUUACUCGACAGGGAAGGAAUCGGUUAUGGAGUUCCUGCUCUGAGGAGGAGUGAGGUGCGCGCUGAGAAAACGGGGACGCGCCACGUCACAGCGCUCCCGGCGGGCUGGGGCCGUUUCUGAAAGGACGGAGCCGGACUCUCCGGAGGAGGCGGUGAUGGGUGGGCUACUGCGGAUCUAAUCAAAGGAGGGGAAACCCACCGCAGACGCUGCCGGUCCCG
rnacentral:lncRNA from 1 species